rnacentral:rRNA from 1 species
GAUAAACGCUGGCGGCGUGCAUAACACAUGCAAGUCGAACGAUGAAACUUAGCUGAUUUCUUCGGAAUGAAAAUAAGUGGAUUAGUGGCGAACGGGUGAGUAACACGUGAGUAACCUGCCUUACACAAGGGGAUAGCCUUUGGAAACGAAGAAUAAUACCCUAUAACGUCAAAAUAUCGCAUGAUAAAGUGACCAAAGAUUUAUCGGUGUAAGAUGGACUUGCGUCUGAUUAGCUAGUUGGUGAGAUAAAAGCCCACCAAGGCGACGAUCAGUAGCCGGCUUGAAAGAGUGUACGGCCACAUUGGGACUGAGACACGGCCCAAACUCCUACGGGAGGCAGCAGUGGGGAAUUUUGCACAAUGGGGGAAACCCUGAUGCAGCGACGCCGCGUGAUUUAGAAGGCCUUCGGGUUGUAAAAAUCUUUUUUAUGGGAUGAAAAUGACAGUACCAUAAGAAUAAGGUCCGGCUAAAUACGUGCCAGCAGCCGCGGUAAUACGUAUGGACCGAGCGUUGUCCGGAAUCAUUGGGCGUAAAGGGUACGUAGGCGGCCUAGUAAGUUAGAAGUGAAAUAAUAUAGCUCAACUAUAUAAAGCUUUUAAAACUGUUAGGCUUGAGAGAUGAAAGGGAAAGUGGAAUUCCUAGUGUAGCGGUGAAAUGCGCAGAUAUUAGGAAGAAUACCGGUGGCGAAGGCGACUUUCUGGUCAUCAUCUGACGCUGAGGUACGAAAGCGUGGGUAGCAAACAGG